CCUACGGGUGGCAGCAGUGAGGAAUAUUGGUCAAUGGGCGCAAGCCUGAACCAGCCAAGUCGCGUGAGGGAUGACGGUCCUAUGGAUUGUAAACCUCUUUUGUCGGGGAGCAAGGCCCGCCACGUGUGGCGGGAAGGAGAGUACCCGAAGAAAAAGCAUCGGAUAACUCCGUGCCAGCAGCCGCGGUAAUACGGAGGAUGCGAGCGUUAUCCGGAUUGAUUGGGGUUAAAGGGUGCGUAGGCGGAAGUUUAAGUCAGGGGGAAAAUGUCGGUGCUCAACACCGGCCUGCCGUUGAAACUGGUCUUCUUGAGUGAGCGAGAAGUAUGCGGAAUGCGUGGUGUAGCGGUGAAAUGCAUAGAUAUCACGCAGAACUCCGAUUGCGAAGGCAGCAUACCGGCGCUCAACUGACGCUGAGGCACGAAAGCGUGGGGAUCGAACAGGAUUAGAUACCCCUGUAGUC
rnacentral:rRNA from 1 species